CGAGCCAGCCCCGACGCCCGA
rnacentral:misc_RNA from 1 species